CUCAUUCCAUCACAUACGACCAUACCCACCAGAAUACUCGGCAUCCCGUCCGCUCUGCCCUAGAUAAACUGGUGAGGGCCGAACCAGUACUCAGGUGGGUGACCACUGGGGAAUCCUCGGUGUUGUAUGUAUUUUU
rnacentral:rRNA from 1 species